AAGUGUCAAACCAUAAACUUUCAUUCUUAAAGGCAUUAAAGUCUCUUAACUUUUACAUACCAAACAAUCUGAAAGCAUUCGAAUAACUAGAUUUACCAGAAAUAGAGUGAACCCAAAUCAAAUUUAACUACCAAAAAGAUGACAAUCCAAUGCUAUCACAAACAUAUGUGAACGAUAAAGCAACCAAUAAUAGAACAUGCUCAGGACAACUAGUUAACCAAAAGCAACCCUCCUCCUUUAUCCGGGCUUGGGACCGGCUAUGCUGUGUACUAAC
rnacentral:lncRNA from 1 species